rnacentral:tRNA from 1 species
AGUAGUUAAGUGGUAGAGCUCCACGCUUCGCGUGGAGGGAGACCCGGGUUCGAUUCCCGGCU